UACGUAGGGUGCGAGCGUUAAUCGGAAUUACUGGGCGUAAAGCGUGCGCAGGCGGUGAGCUGUGUCCGAUGUGAAAGCCCCGGGCUUAACCUGGGAAUGGCAUUGGAAACUGGCUCGCUGGAGUGUGGCAGAGGGGGGUGGAAUUCCGCGUGUAGCAGUGAAAUGCGUAGAGAUGCGGAGGAACACCGAAGGCGAAGGCAGCCCCCUGGGCUAACACUGACGCUCAGGCACGAAAGCGUGGGGAGCAAACAGG
rnacentral:rRNA from 1 species